rnacentral:lncRNA from 1 species
UACAGCUUUUCUUAGAUGCCUCAGGCUGGACAGAAGGGAUUCCUGGCCUGCUGGGUACCUGUCCUUUUAGAAUCUUACCAUCAUCCUGAGGAUUCCAUUUGCUUCUGUUGCAUUGGAUCCUCUAUUUCUUGGAUUCCUUAUUGUUCUCCUUGAUUUACUCCAUCGAUUUGGCAGGACAUAUCCUGUAGUGGUUUCCCGAGAAAGAGCGUGUUAUAGGAAGAUGUUAAGCAAUUUAUUUGAUGUCCUUCAAAAACUAUCUUUAUAAUGAAACAAGAGAAACCAUGAUUAACUAUCAAAUUCAACUUGCUGCACAGCAUAACAAAACUACAGUGGAAUAAAGAAUACGGAGAAUUUUGAGUCAUGUCUUGUACAAUUGAAAUUUAAGAGCAAGGUUGCUUCUGUACCCCUAUACAGACUUGGCGCUGUGCCUCCACACUAGCUGCCAGAAAGAUGACAAAUGACAAUCAAAGAAAUCACCAGGAGACAAUGGCCUC